UGAGAGUUGAGGAAAGCUGAGAUGCC
rnacentral:piRNA from 1 species